rnacentral:rRNA from 1 species
AUUCUUCGGAUGAAGGUUUUUGUGACUGAGUGGCGGACGGGUGAGUAACGCGUGGGUAACCUGCCUCAUACAGGGGGAUAACAGUUAGAAAUGACUGCUAAUACCGCAUAAGACCACGGAGCCGCAUGGCUCAGUGGGAAAAACUCCGGUGGUAUGAGAUGGACCCGCGUCUGAUUAGCUGGCUGGUGAGGUAACGGCUCACCAAGGCGACGAUCAGUAGCCGGCUCGAGAGAGUGAACGGCCACAUUGGGACUGAGACACGGCCCAAACCCC